UACGAAGGGGGCUAGCGUUGCUCGGAAUCACUGGGCGUAAAGGGUGCGUAGGCGGGUUUUAAGUCAGGGGUGAAAUCCUGGAGCUCAACUCCAGAACUGCCUUUGAUACUGAAGAUCUUGAGUCCGGGAGAGGUGAGUAGGAACUGCGAGUGUAGAGGUGAAAUUCGUAGAUAUUCGCAAGAACACCAGUGGCGAAGGCGGCUCACUGGCCCGGUACUGACGCUGAGGCACGAAAGCGUGGGGAGCAAACAGG
rnacentral:rRNA from 1 species